rnacentral:ncRNA from 2 species
UCGGGACCCGAAAGAUGGUGAACU